GCUACGGGUGGCAGCAGUGAGGAAUAUUGGUCAAUGGGCUUACGCCUGAACCAGCCAAGUCGCGUGAGGGAAGACUGCCCUAUGGGUUGUAAACCUCUUUUGUCAGGGAGCAAUUGGCGCUACGUGUAGCGUUAUCGAGAGUACCUGAAGAAAAAGCAUCGGCUAACUCCGUGCCAGCAGCCGCGGUAAUACGGGGGAUGCGAGCGUUCGCCGUAUUUAUUGGGUUUCAAGGGUGCGUUGGCGGAAUAUCGAGUCAGCGGUAAAACUUCGGGGCUCAAGCCCGUCGUGCCGUGGACAAUGAUGUGCGUGAGUGGGCGAGAGGUAUGCGGAAGGCGUGGUGUAGCGGUGAAAUGCAGAGAUAUCACGCAGAACUCCGAUUGCGAAGGCAGCAUACCGGCGCCCAACUGACGCGGAAGCACGAAAGCGUGGGUAUCGAACAGGAUUAGAUACCCUUGUAGUC
rnacentral:rRNA from 1 species